CCUACGGGGGGCUGCAGUGGGGAAUUUUGGACAAUGGGCGCAAGCCUGAUCCAGCAAUGCCGCGUGCAGGAUGAAGGCCUUCGGGUUGUAAACUGCUUUUGUACGGAACGAAAAAGCUCUGGUUAAUACCUGGGGCCCAUGACGGUACCGUAAGAAUAAGCACCGGCUAACUACGUGCCAGCAGCCGCGGUAAUACGUAGGGUGCAUGCGGUAAUCGGAAUUACUGGGGGCGGUUAUGUAAGACAGGGUUGAAAUCCCCGGGCUCAACCUGGGAACUGCCUUUGUGACUGCAUAGCUGGAGUGCGGCAGAGGGGGAUGGAAGUCCGCGUGUAGCAGUGAAAUGCGUAGAUAUGCGGAGGAACACCGAUGGCGAAGGCAAUCCCCUGGGCCUGCACUGACGCUCAUGCACGAAAGCGUGGGGAGCAAACAGGAUUAGAUACCCCGGUAGUC
rnacentral:rRNA from 1 species